rnacentral:piRNA from 1 species
UGGAUAACUGGUAUAGCCACAACUGUGAGC